AGAUCAAUUGAGGGAGGAAGAGACAGAAACAGAAUUGAUGUCCAAAGGACAAAAGAAACCAAAGACAAUUGCAAAUCCUGAAAAGCUACUGAUAAAAAAGAGAAAGAGAGCUUCCCCAGACGCAAAUCAAAAGGAUGAUGAAAUGAAGGAAAAAAGAAAAGAGAUGGCCCUAGAGAAAAAAAGGAAAAAACAGGCUGUGGCAGCUGCAGCACAGGAUAUCGCUGCCAAACUGUAUUCUAAGGCUAAUAUGCAUAGUUGUCUGAUGGUGGGAACCUUCCUUCUUCGUCAAAAGUAAUGAAAAAACACAAGCCAAAGACCAGACCCAGCAUUGAGUGGGCAGACUAUUAUGAGCUGAAAAAUGAGGAAAGCCCAAGAGAGGGUUAUUGCCUUUUGGCACCCGGAGCAACUAUUGCGGUAUCUUCCCUAUGGUUGCAUUCUAUGUUGUCAUCGCUCUCGAAGAAGAAGAAACAAAAAAAGUCGACAGGAUUCGACAUCCUUAAAAGAUUGAUGGACGGUUUCUAUGAACCCUGGGAUCUGGCUGUGAAGGGUGGCAUAACCCCCUUCAAGGAUUCCCCUAUAUAUAAAUCCUUGAGAUGCUAUGCAGAACAUAAAUUAAACAUGGAUCUUCCAUCUUUCAAUCGUGCCUGGAUGGAGAAGAUGUCAGCCUCCAGAUUAACAAUGAAAAGGGUUGAAAAGAAAAACAAUGAUACAGUUUCUUCAUCAGACCAAUAAUUCUGCAUAUUGUCAGUCUCAAUUCCCUUGUAAAUUCUUAUUUUAGUCUCUUGGUUCCAGUAUUAUCCUAGGACAUUUCAAUUAGUUCAAUUAGUUCUACUUAUUUAAGUUGAUGGUUUUAAAUGCACCAAGUAGUUUUUGUAGGUUUAUGCUUUUUGUAAUCCACAAAUAGUUGUUCGUAAAAGUAUCUUGCAUAAUAUUAGUAUUAAUUAUAUUAGAUAUUCAUUAGAAAAUAUUUUGCAAAGGAAUAGUUGAUGCAUAUUUUUACUAUUGUUAAAUAAUUGUUGUGCUCAAUGCAUAAGAUGUUCUGUUUUCACUUUUUUUUUUGCACCUAUUCUGUUUUAAUUACUUUUUUUAUUAAGUUUACAAAAUGAAAUUGUUUUGCAUAUAUUGUAAAUAAUUCAUUCCAAGUGUUUUUUAGAAGUGAUUUGUAAACAAUUUUUUCAAAAUGAUUUGGUUGUGAUUUAUUCAUGAUGAUUUGGAAGUGAUUUGUUAAAGAGAAGUGAUUUGUAAACGAUUUAUUCCGAGUGAUUUGGUAGUGAUUUGUUAAAGAGAAGUGAUUUGUAAACGAUUUAUUCCGAGUGAUUUGGUAGUGAUUUGUUAAAGAGAAGUGAUUUGUAAACGAUUUAUUCCGAGUGAUUUUGAAGUGAUUUGUUAAGAAGAAGUGAUUUGUACACGAUUUAUUCAGAGUGAUUUUGAAGUGAUUUGUUAAAGAGAAGUGAUUUGUAAACGAUUUCUUCCGAGUGAUUUGGUUGUGAUUUGUU